GACAUCAAGACUGAUCUAAGCAUAAAGUUGGCGCCCGAAAGCGCCAAAGCACGUUUUGCUUCCACAGGUUUACAAGGUUGAAGGCCUAAGGCCAUUCGUUAAUGAUCCCUCCGCAGGUUCACCUACGGAGACCUUGUUACGACUUUUACUUCCUCUAAAUGACCAAGA
rnacentral:misc_RNA from 1 species